UAUUGUUCUACUUUUGCUUGCAGAGAGAUGUCAACCACAUGCGACUGACAAUGGCCUUCGGCAUUCUUCUUUUCUUUGCAAUAAUUGGUGAAACUGGAUCCGCUAGAGGACUUCGCCAGUACCUUAACAUACUUCAACCAAUCAAAGGAGUGGAUCCGGCCAUGUCGCCAAGGCUUUCGAUGGUUGUGAUGCAGCCGCGUUACUUCUACUGCGUGCUGUAUCCGUGGUCACGAGCGAUCAACCCAGUGUACUGUAUGCGACAAUACAAAAUAUACCAAGAAUACCUCCGACGUCGAAGCUCGUCCACAGCAAGACCAGUCAACUGGGGAUACGAUCCUGGGCUCAUCGAUCCUAGGGCGGCGUCACUGUAUAACAGACGCACCGGUGGCCGGUGAAGCGCGGCCCAGUGCGAAGGAGGCUACGUAUGAGCUUUGCUAAAAAGCGACAGUAAAGCUAGAAUUAGGCAUACAUACAUAAGCACUAAAAAUUGCGCUUCUGCAAUACCGAAAAAAUACAACACAAAUGAUUCUAAAACCCGUUACCUCACAGUAACGUAUACCAAUAUUUCCAUGCGAGGUUCAGAGAUUUAUACAUUUGGUGCGGAGGAAGUCUUACACUUUACUUGGGGCGGCUCGAAAGAGACACCACACCUGAAAAACACAGAAGCAGCAGCAGCAAACACGAGGGAACAGUGGGGGGCCCGACUGUCCAGCUCUGACCUGGCCCACCAGCAACCCCUGAUCGUCCAGGUUUGAUGAGUGUCUAAGGACAGUGGGGUUCUCGA